UACGAAGGGGGCUAGCGUUGCUCGGAAUUACUGGGCGUAAAGCGCACGUAGGCGGCUUUCUAAGUCGGGGGUGAAAUCCUGGAGCUCAACUCCAGAACUGCCUUUGAUACUGAGGAUCUUGAGUCCGGGAGAGGUGAGUGGAACUGCGAGUGUAGAGGUGAAAUUCGUAGAUAUUCGCAAGAACACCAGUGGCGAAGGCGGCUCACUGGCCCGAUACUGACGCUGAGGCACGAAAGCGUGGGGAGCAAACAGG
rnacentral:rRNA from 1 species